UUGAACGCUGGCGGCAGGCCUAACACAUGCAAGUCGAGCGGAUGAAGGGAGCUUGCUCCUGGAUUCAGCGGCGAACGGGUGAGUAAUGCCUAGGAAUCUGCCUGGUAGUGGGGGAUAACGUCCGGAAACGGGCGCUAAUACCGCAUACGUCCUGAGGGAGAAAGUGGGGGAUCUUCGGACCUCACGCUAUCAGAUGAGCCUAGGUCGGAUUAGCUAGUUGGUGGGGUAAAGGCCUACCAAGGCGACGAUCCGUAACUGGUCUGAGAGGAUGAUCAGUCACACUGGAACUGAGACACGGUCCAGACUCCUACGGGAGGCAGCAGUGGGGAAUAUUGGACAAUGGGCGAAAGCCUGAUCCAGCCAUGCCGCGUGUGUGAAGAAGGUCUUCGGAUUGUAAAGCACUUUAAGUUGGGAGGAAGGGCAGUAAGUUAAUACCUUGCUGUUUUGACGUUAUCAACAGAAUAAGCACCGGCUAACUUCGUG
rnacentral:rRNA from 1 species